ensembl:snRNA U6 U6 spliceosomal RNA
GUGCUCCUUUUGGCAGCACAUAUAUUAAGAAUUGACAUGAUAUAAAGAUUAGGUUGGCCCCUGCCCAAGGAUGACAAAAAAAUUUGUGAAGCAGCCCAUAUUUUU